ACUCAACCAAACUCCGAAUGCCGAUAAGUCAGAGCGUGGCAGUGAGACUGUGGGGGAUAAGCUUCAUAGUCGAGAGGGAAACAGCCCAGACCACCAACUAAGGCCCCUAAGCGUGUGCUAAGUGGGAAAGGAUGUGGAGUUGCACAGACAACCAGGAGGUUGGCUUAGAAGCAGCCAUCCUUAAAAGAGUGCGUAAUAGCCCACUGGUCAAGUGAUUCCGCGCCGACAAUGUAACGGGGCUCAAGCACAUCGCCGAAGUUGUGGCAUUCACACCGAUAACCAGGCCGCAAGGUCCAGGUGUGUGGAUGGGUAGGGGAGCGUCGUGUGGCGAGCGAAGCGGCGGGGAAACCCAGCCGUGGACGCCACACGAGUGAGAAUGCAGGCAUGAGUAGCGAAAGACGGGUGAGAAACCCGUCCGCCGGAUGACCAAGGGUUCCAGGGCCAGGCUAAUCCGCCCUGGGUAAGUCGGGACCUAAGACGAGGCCGACAGGCGUAGUCGAUGGACAACGGGUUGAUAUUCCCGUACCGGUUUACACACGACCCUGACGAACCUAGUGAUGCUAAGCGCAAGAAGCCGAUGAACUCUUCGGAGGGAUUCGGUGGAUCGCGCGACCCGAACUGGUAGUAGUCAAGCAAUGGGGUGACGCAGGAAGGUAGCUCAACCGCGGCGAUGGUAGACCGCGGCUAAGGUCGUAGGGCGAGGUGUAGGCAAAUCCGCACCUCAUGCGCCUGAGAACCGAUGGGGAGCCGAUUUAGGCGAAGUGAGUGAUCCUAUGCUGCCGAGAAAAGCCUCUAGCGAGUGUGUAAGCCGCCCGUACCCCAAACCGACACAGGUGGUCAGGUAGAGAAUACCGAGGCGAUCGAGUGAACUGUGGUUAAGGAACUCGGCAAAUUGCCCCCGUAACUUCGGGAGAAGGGGGGCCGAAGCUGGUGACGGGACUUGCUCCCCGAGCUGGCGGCGGCCGCAGAGACCAGGUGGAAGCGACUGUUUACUAAAAACACAGGUCCAUGCAAAGUCGCAAGACGACGUAUAUGGACUGACGCCUGCCCGGUGCUGGAACGUUAAGGGGACCGGUUAGCCGCAAGGCGAAGCUGAGAACUUAAGCGCCAGUAAACGGCGGUGGUAACUAUAACCAUCCUAAGGUAGCGAAAUUCCUUGUCGGGUAAGUUCCGACCUGCACGAAUGGCGUAACGACUUCCACGCUGUCUCAACCGCAGACUCGGCGAAAUUGCACUACGAGUAAAGAUGCUCGUUACGCGUGGCAGGACGGAAAGACCCCGGGACCUUUACUACAGCUUGGUAUUGGUGGUCGGUUCGAUUUGUGUAGGAUAGGUGGGAGACUUGGAAGCCCGGACGCCAGUUCGGGUGGAGUCAUUGUUGAAAUACCACUCUGAUCGUAUUGGCUGUCUAACCUCGAUCCGUGAUCCGGAUUAGGGACAGUGCCUGGUGGGUAGUUUAACUGGGGCGGUUGCCUCCCAAAAAGUAACGGAGGCGCUCAAAGGUUCCCUCAGCCUGGUUGGCAAUCAGGUGUCGAGUGCAAGUGCACAAGGGAGCUUGACUGUGAGACUGACAAGUCGAGCAGGGACGAAAGUCGGAACUAGUGAUCCGGCGCCGGCAUGUGGAAGCGGCGUCGCUCAACGGAUAAAAGGUACCCCGGGGAUAACAGGCUGAUCUUGCCCAAGAGUCCAUAUCGACGGCAUGGUUUGGCACCUCGAUGUCGGCUCGUCGCAUCCUGGGGCUGGAGUCGGUCCCAAGGGUUGGGCUGUUCGCCCAUUAAAGCGGCACGCGAGCUGGGUUUAGAACGUCGUGAGACAGUUCGGUCCCUAUCCGCCACGCGCGUAAGAGUCUUGAGAAGAUCUGUCCCUAGUACGAGAGGACCGGGACGGACGAACCUCUGGUGUGCCAGUUGUCCUGCCAAGGGCACGGCUGGUUAGCUACGUUCGGACGGGAUAACCGCUGAAAGCAUCUAAGCGGGAAGCCCACUUCAAGAUGAGGGCUCUCACUGGUUGACCAGGUAAGGACCCCAGCUAGACGACUGGGUUGAUAGGCCGGAUGUGGAAGCACAGCAAUGUGUGGAGCUGACCGGUACUAAUAGUCCGAGGACUUGCCUCA
rnacentral:rRNA from 1 species